GAUGAACGCUGGCGGCGUGCCUAAUACAUGCAAGUCGAGCGAACAGACGAGGAGCUUGCUCCUCUGACGUUAGCGGCGGACGGGUGAGUAACACGUGGAUAACCUACCUAUAAGACUGGGAUAACUUCGGGAAACCGGAGCUAAUACCGGAUAAUAUAUUGAACCGCAUGGUUCAAUAGUGAAAGACGGUUUUGCUGUCACUUAUAGAUGGAUCCGCGCCGCAUUAGCUAGUUGGUAAGGUAACGGCUUACCAAGGCAACGAUGCGUAGCCGACCUGAGAGAGUGAUCGGCCACACUGGAACUGAGACACGGUCCAGACUCCUACGGGAGGCGGCAGUAGGGAAUCUUCCGCAAUGGGCGAAAACCUGACGGAACAACGCCGCAUGAGUGAUGAAGGUCUUCGAAUCGUAAAGCUCUGUUAUUAGGGAAGAACAAAUGUGUAAGUAACUAUGCACGUCUUGACGGUACCUAAUCAGAAAGCCACGGCUAACUACGUG
rnacentral:rRNA from 1 species